GUGAGGAAUAUUGGUCAAUGGGCGAAAGCCUGAACCAGCCAUGUCGCGUGAAGGAUGAAGGUCCUAUGGAUUGUAAACUUCUUUUGCAGGAGGGUAAAGUGAGCUACGUGUAGUUCAUUGCAAGUACCCUGCGAAUAAGCAUCGGCUAACUCCGUGCCAGCAGCCGCGGUAAUACGGAGGAUGCGAGCGUUAUCCGGAUUUAUUGGGUUUAAAGGGUGCGUAGGCGGACUAAUUAGUCAGCGGUGAAAUUUUGCGGCUCAACCGUAAAACUGCCGUUGAAACUGUUAGUCUUGAGUGCGGUAGAGGUAGGCGGAAUGUGUGGUGUAGCGGUGAAAUGCUUAGAUAUCACACAGAACACCGAUUGCGUAGGCAGCUUACUGGAGCGCAACUGACGCUGAGGCACGAAAGCGUGGGGAUCGAACAGGAUUAGAUACCCCUGUAGUCC
rnacentral:rRNA from 1 species